UGCAGUGUGGUGUAGUGGUCUGAGCACUGAACUACAACUCUGGAGAUCAGGGUUCAAAUCCCUGUUCAGCCA